CUGCCCUACUGGAGUCCAUCUUGCGAGCCCAGGACAGGACCAGAAGAAACUGAAGAUUUCUAAACACUGUUGAAGAUAUGCUGGAAGUGAUCCAAUGUGGAAAUCCACAAGAACUCAACUGCUAUGCAAGAAAUGAGUGAAUAAAGCAGAGAUGAGCAAUGACAAUUUUUAGAAAAUGUGGCCAAGUUGUAUUUUUCUGCCUUAAGAUCUUUGAGACAAAGCUGGCACUCACUAGACAGAACAGAAAGCUCAUCUGGAUGGUAGACAGUUCAAGUACUGACCUGUGGUGUAGAACAGACUAAUUUCACUCACAUUUGCCUGUGAACUACAGAAACUGUAAGAGAGAAAGUAUGCCUAUCCAACAGCCUGUUACCUGCUCAAAAUUAUAUUGAUGUCAAAACAUUUUUACUAAUGGAUUUGCAGGAAAAUUGCGCCUACUGUACUCAGGUUUUAUUUUAUUUUGCUAACACAGGCUGUUUAAGUCAUACUUAGCUUCUUCGGAAGCUGUCUGAACAAAUCACCAGUGAAGGGAGUAGGAAUAUAUGGAGGAGUUCUUGUUAUCAUCUGUGUUUGUUGAUGUUGGGAGUGACAGUUGUAUACAGUUGAUUAGUUCAUGUUGAUUUGACAGGUAGCAAUGGGACAGUGCAGCUACAUGCCAUUUUCCCAAGUUUCAUUGAGUCAUGUUUUUAUUUUUUCUGUCACUUUUGAUGAAAUGCAAACUGUACAUUAGCUACCUGUACACCACCAGUGUAUUUGUAAUAUAAAUUCUCUGUACUACAAAACCUCCUUCUACCAGAGAUUGCCAGGGCUUUAUUUAUGUGUGUGCAUACAUGUAUCUGAAGAGGAAGAGGAUGCACUUAUCAUCAGGUACUGUUCUUCUAAAAAGAACAAACCUGGCAAGUUAUUUAUCAUAUUGCUUGACAGUUAUGCCUCUGCAGACUGUAGAGCGCUCCCAAGCUAAGGUCUUUUCAUGUCCUGCUCUGCUCCUCGGAUUCUCAUCUAUUUCUUGAAAAUGCUGUGGGUUUCUGCUCAUUAAAUGCUA